rnacentral:rRNA from 1 species
UACGGGGGGUGCAAGCGUUGUUCGGAUUGAUUGGGCGUAAAGCGCUCGUAGGCGGGUCCACAAGUCGGAUGUGAAAUCCCCGGGCUUAACCUGGGAAUUGCAUCUGAAACUAUGGAUCUUGAAUGCUUGAGGGGUUGGUGGAAUUCUUGGUGUAGGAGUGAAAUCCGUAGAUAUCAAGAGGAAUACCGGAGGCGAAGGCGGCCGACUGGCAAUGCAUUGACGCUGAGGAGCGAAAGCGUGGGGAGCAAACAGG